GCCGGACGCGGUGGCGCGCGCCUGUAGUCCCAGCUACCCGGGAGGCUGAGGCAGGAGGAUCGCUUGAGUCCAGGAGUUCUGGGCUGUAGUGCGCUAUGCCGAUCGGGUGUCCGCACUAAGUUCGGCAUCAAUAUGGUGACCUCCCGGGAGCGGGGGACCACCAGGUUGCCUAAGGAGGGGUGAACCGGCCCAGGUCGGAAACGGAGCAGGUCAAAACUCCCGUGCUGAUCAGUAGUGGGAUCGCGCCUGUGAAUAGCCACUGCACUCCAGCCUGGGCAACAUAGCGAGACCCCGUCAA
rnacentral:SRP_RNA from 1 species